rnacentral:tRNA from 1 species
GGAGGUAUAGCUCAGUGGUAGUGCACUUGCUUAGAAUACAUGAGGCCAUGGGUUUGACCCCCAGCACCACCA